UGUUUGGCCUUUAGGCCUUGAUCAAGCGAAGUAUGUGUUGAGUUAAUUUAACAUAUUUAAGUAUUUUUUUAAUAAAAUAUUGCGAUAUUAUCGAUAAUUUUGAAAAUAUUGCGAUAUUAUCGAUAAUAUUGUGAUAUUUUAAUGAAAAUAGAUUGGAUAGUUAAAAAAAUUUCGGAAUUCCAAAAAAACGAUAAUUUCAGCGAUAUAGCCGAUAUUAUUGAUUUUUUUUUCCUUGGUUUUGACGGCUAUUACUUUAGUAUAAAGAAAGCAUGGAAAAUGGCACUGUAGAAAUAAACAGUAAUUUCAUUUUAUUUACGAGGCUGUCACUGACUCUCUCUGCCGUUGAUCAUAAUGCCCGCGUGUCGAUGAUCGUGGAAAGGCAGGGUGCGAUCGUCACUUUACCAUUCUCUUCCUCCCCAGAUCCCAUGCUCUUCAUCACUCUCUUUCUCUUCCUCCCCAGAUCCCAUGACCUUUAGGUGAUAAAAUCGUGAUGUGACCAUCGUAUUCUCUCUCACAGCUCACAACGAUGAAAUCGCACAGGGGCUUCGUUGAUUUCUGUCAACUCCAACGAGAUCCAAGGGCUAAUAUCAGGAUGAGAAGAAGAUAUUGAGAGAUUUUCCAAACUCUCCAGCUUCACUGAAACAUUGUGGCUCUCUGUUUUCUCCGGAGAAGAACGGCAGCAAGUGCGAUUCUUCUGUCGGGACGAUGCGGUGGUAGAAUCUACUGCCGAUGAUGAACAUGCGAGUGUUGCUGGUGAAAGCUGAUGACUCCACCAGGCAUAUUAUAGUUGUGCUUCCCAGGAAUGUAGCUACAAAGGCGAAAUUGAACCGCCACAUGUGCCGCAGCCGCAUCAAGGGCUGGUUCUCCAACGGCGUCGUUUUCUGAAGCUCUCUCUACUCAAGGUACGCAAUUUAGAGUUUUGGCCCUGAAAAGGUAGCGUUUACCGCUGAGUUCUUCAGCUGAUUUGGGGUGGGUAUUUUUGUGGUUUAAAUAUUAUGUGUGUAGAUGUGUAAAUUUCCUUUCUAAAUGGGUUUUCUGUUGAAAUUUCAUUUUUGUGAUUUUGGGGAUUUAUGUUGAAAUUAUUGAAAAGGAUACAAUUCUUAAAAGAAUUCAGUUUACUGCAUACUCCUUUUCAGAUUCAAAAAGGAUAAAAUCAAAGGCAAUAGAUGUGCAUAUUAGGUACAUUGAUUGGCCUGAAUUACAUAGAUAGGGUGUUCGACAAGGAUAAUACUAUCAUUGCACCUUAUUCCUUGACGCUUUGGGACCCUGUUGGAUCUUCGUUGGAAUAGUGGAAAUUAGUUUUCGGACCUGAUAUCGCUGUCUUCAGUAACUCGGCUGGUAAUUUUUGGCAGUGCCCAUUUGAAAAUUUUAGUUGUUUUUGUUGUUGGUUAUGUUUAUUUGUCAAGGUAGUGAUUUUGGUUUCAUGGUUAGGGCUUUAUGAAUAUAAGCAUGAUCGUUCAAAAGCUAGGGAGCUUGAAGAGGCAAUUGGAAUUAAAGUCAUAAGACAUACUAAGUGUUUGUUUUUUCUUUAUUUUUGCUGCAAAGCGGGUUUGUGAAAGUAAUUUGUUUUAUGAAAUGGGUUACUGCCAGAUGGUGAAACGAUCAAUUCUUCUCUCUCCUCUACCAUGCUUUCCAGUGGAUUCAUCAGGUGUUGCUAACGUUUUUAUUUUUAUUUUUUAUUCUUUGAUAGCUAUAUUGGGAGUUUGAUUUAUUGUAAAUUGUAGUGAUAAAUGUUUGGAUGGUAGAGUUAUAUCUAAUACAAUUAUUUAAUCUUGCAUUACUCUCUCUCCCGUCCUUAUGUUGUUCUUUUAAUUUCAAUGAUCCAUUAUUAGUUGGUUGUUAAUUAGGAUUUGUUUUAUAGAAUUUGGACUUUGAACAAUAAAAUCUCCAUUCAGUUUCUUCUGUAUCGUGCAAUCGGCCUAUCAUAUUGGUUGACGAGUUUGCGCUGUUUGUUUAUGUUCGUUUCUUUUUUCCUGGAUUAGAAACGUCAAUAUCUAUCGUUUGGUCCUCUGAAGAGAGUGCCUAAUGAUUUUGAAAAUUUGUAAGUGAAAUCAUUGUAGUUUAAAUUGCAUUAAUUUUCCUCAAGUUCAAUCACUGAAACAUUCUCCUCUAACAAUGUAUUAUGCAUUUAUCUAAUGCGUUUAAUUUUGAUCUCCACAUUAGUCAAUGUUCACUAAUGCCUUUAUUUUUCCUCUGUUUUACAUCUGUGUGAUGCCACAACUCCCACUGGAAAGCCUCCAUAGAAAAGGGCAUCAGCUUCUGACUCAGUUUCCGACAAUGCCCCGAUGAUUUCUCUGAAAACCAAAGCAACCCCAAGCAAUUUCGGAAACACUUACGGGUCCCAAAAUAUAACAUGUGAUGUUGCUGCAAAGGAAAUAUGAGGCACAACUUUUACUCCAAAGGCUCCAACAAAAAAUAUAACAGAUUCCCCAAGCAUCUAAAACCAUAUUGCAUCGCUGCAAAACACUAUGCCGCUUUGAUGAGAUACAGAUAGAGACAGAGAUAGAGAUAGAGAUAGAGAUAGAGAUAGAGAUAGAGAUAGAGGGAGAGAGGGUGAGGAGAUAGAGUGACAGAUAGAGGGAGGGAGGGUGAGGAGUAGGGAUCACUGACGACUCAGUCACUAACUCAGAUCUCCUCCUCAACGCCAACACCCAUCGAGUCCAGUGUCUCGCUCUCCAAGCCCAAAGGAUUAUUAAAGGUGUGGAAAAGUUGCAGGCUGAGAUGGACCAACCAUUUGAGACCAGACUUGAAGAGAGGUCUUUUAUCAGAAUAUGAAGAGAAGAUAUGUGAGAUGACGAGGUGAGCAAGAGAAACGGUGAGGUUUUAUUUUCUCAUUUGGAUUUUGAAAUUGAGUAAUUUUCUGCUUUGUGUCUUUUGAGUAGGCGUGGGAUUUAGUUUCAUGCCAGGGGUUGGGUCUUUAUACAUCUCUCUCUGUUCAUAUUACUUCCUUUUCAUUCUUGCUAAAUUAUUGGGUUAUUUUAUUUGUGUACAGAUAUUAGUGUAUUUGUUAGUUGGAUUUCGAUAAUUGGAGUUCAAAUAUUACAUUGUUAUAGAGAUACCAAUUUCUCAUAUGAUUGCAAUUGGCUUGUAACUUCUAUGUUUUGGUUUGUUGUGAAAUGAAUUCCCUUUUACCGUUAAAUAAAAAAUAAAAAAAAGGUACAAUGUUAUCAAAUUCGAUUUUUCUAAUCAUUGGGAAUGCUGGGGGUUUCUUACGGUUAAAUCUUUGAUGGUAUAAGUUUUGUUUUAUUCUCAUGAACCCAGUUUUCAGUUUUACUUUUACUUCUUGUGUGUUUUAAUAUAUUCAAUCUGGAAAAUUGUACUCUGGCAAAUAACAAACAGAUAUUAUAGGAGUUCCUCUCCUGCAUAUGAUGCCAUAUUAACAGGUUGAAGAUUUUGGACCUGAUAAGUUCAUACUUAUCAAAUAUUUUUGUUCAAGGGAGUACCAUAGUUAGAAAAUUUUGAAUCUAAGAUUUAAUUAUAUGAUGCCAUAAUAACAAAUUUACUGAAUAUGGUACUGCUUGGGGAAUAUAUUUUGCUCUCAACGUUUAGCUCCUGAAUUGUAGGUGGAGAAGUGUCAACAAUUGUGAAACAUAACACAGAAAAAACAAAGGCAUAAAACAUCCAACAAGCCAAGCCGAUAAUAACAAACAUAAAAAAAGAAAUUCUAAUUCUAAUUUCUUAGUAACCAAAUAGUCCACAACAUUUAUACUAAAGCAAUUGUCUGUGAUAAAGUCACAAAAUAUGCAUAAAAAUUCCCUUGUAUAUGUUCUUCUUGUGUCGUGGUCCCUCAUAGAUUUCGCCAAAAGGUUGAUCCUCUUCCUUAGGAGUCUUCAUUGUCAUCAGUUGAAAUGGAGGGCAGGUCGGAGCUAAUUCAAAUUCAUCACUAUCCAUUGAGAGAGCAUAAUCCUGUAACAAUAAAAACAGUACACCCACUUUUAUUUUAUUCUGUUCCCCAAUAUAAAAUUCUAAUAAAUAAUUAAUAAUAAGAAUAUGACAUUAAUUCACUUACUCAAAACUCAACGUCCUCGUAAACUCCAACGGAUGUUGUUUUACUCAGAACUCCUUGCGUGUUGGACAUGAGGUUUAACCACAAUGGAAAGUAUCUUAUUAAAUCCAUACUUAGGUAAUCAUUUUCACUGUUUUAUGGUUGGUUUGUUAUGUGUAAUUUUGUGUAAAUUGUGAAUUAUUUUGUUUAUUUUUAUAGGAGCAUGUUGACACAAAUUGUCUCAUGUAGAAGAGAAGACAAAGUUUGCUAUCUGAAUAUUUUGAUUGAUUUCAUCUUAUACAACCCUGAACAUGAAGCAUUUGAACUAUCAUGCCAUGAUACUUCAAAAUUUAACAUUGAAGAUGAUUUUGAUGGACUUAAAACUAUGGUUGAUUGGAUUUCAUAUCUUGAAGGCAUUCAUUUAGAGGAUUUUCAUGAGUUCAGUAAUAAAGACUUACAAUGAUACAAUCUUCCUAUGGGUUUUGAUGUUUGCCAAGUCCUUUCAUUUUCUAAAAUGAGGAACCGCUUCUCACGAUAGAGUUUUUCAAAGUUCACUGGUAGCGGUCCGAUAGACAAUGAUGGAAAGCACUCUGCUUCUGAAUCUUUUGUGAAAAUGAUUUUAAACAACCAAACCACAAUUGGAAAGUUGCUUUACCUUUGUCGUCCUUGAAAUUCUUGAAUUUGAUAACCAAAGAGGUAAAACAACUUUCCAAUUGUGGUUUGGUUGUUUUAAAAUCAUUUUCACAAAAGAUUCAGAAGCAGAGUGCUUCCCAUCAUUGUCUAUCGGACCAGUACCAGUGAACUUUGAAAAACUUCAUUGUGAGAAGCGGUUCCUCGUUUUAGAAAAUGAAAGGACUGGGGCAAACAUCAAAACCCACAGGAAGUCUGUAUCAUUGUAAGUUGUUAAGGAAAAGAGAUUACUGAACUCAUGAAUAUCCUCUAAAUGAAUGCCUUCAAGAUAUGAAAUCCAGUCAACUAUAGUUUUAAGUCCAUCAAAAUCAUCAUCAAUGUUAAAUUUUGAAGUAUCAUGGCAUGGUAGUUCAAAUGUUUCAUGGUCAGGGUUGUAUAAGAUGAAAUCAUUCGAAAUAUUUAGAUAGCAAAUUUUCCUUCUCUUCUACAUGAGACAAAUCGUCUGUGAUCAUGCCGAAGCAAACUAACUCCUCGUCGGGAGGGUUUUACUUUUUAGCCCUGGCCUUUCAUUUUCAAAGAUUAGAAAUAGAUGCCGUCAGUGGACUUAUUCUAAGUUCAUCGAAGGUGAACCAAUAAAUGACGACGGUAACCAUUUUGCAUGUGUAUUCUUUAUGCAGAAAUAUUUGAGGAAUGUGUACCUUGUGGGUUAGUUACACCCAUAAUUGGAAAGAUGAUGGUUUGAAAAAGGUGAUUAGAGAACCUAAAUACAACGAAUGUACUCAUUAGUAAUUAAUUUUAGCAAAUUUAAGGCAAUCGACCCAUGUGAUUUUCUAUGAUUUGGUAGAAUAAUAGUCGUCCAUACUCAUGACUAGAUAUGCUUACAUGUUUUAUGUGCGUUUUAAGUUUUUAAAUUAUGGUUAUUAAAACUUCAAACGCACAUAAAACAUAACUGGUCACGAAUAUGGAUAAUCAUUAUUCUAUUGAAUCAUAGAAACUCUCAUGGCCACCUUGAAUAUGCUAAAUUUAAUUAUUAACCCAAUUGCCUUUUGAAACUGUCUUUCCAAUUAUUGGUGGAACUAACUUCGCGUGGUACACAUCUCUCAAAUAUUUUUUCAUAAAAGAUAUACAUAAAAUAAGAGUUUCUUCCCAAUUGACCGUUACAUGAAUAUCAAGAGUUUCAACACCUGUUUUCAUUUAAGACUUACGAUAUAGAAUUCCUGCACUAUUUUCCCUCGCUCUCUUAUUUUCUAAAAUGAGAAACCGUUACUGUUAGUGGACUUAUUCUAAGUUCAUUGGCCGUGGUCUAAUUGACGAUGAUGUGAGGCAUUCUCCAUCUAUAUCUCUUAUGCAAAACUUUUUGAACAAUGUGUUGAUUGCCUAAGGGGUUAGUCCAACUCACAAUUGAAAAAUUGGUCUACAACUACCUAUUGGACAAGCUAAAUAUAAUAAUUAGACCAGCAUGGUAAUCAAAUUUUGCAACUUCAAGGAAGACAAUGCCUGGGAUUUCCUAAGAUUUAGUCGAAUUUUGAUGGUCCACACCCGGGACGAGGUAUUUUACAUGUCUUGUUUGUUGUUGAACUUUAAACUUUUAAAUUUUGUUUAAUAUUUUUCCUUUUGUUUUUUUAGUUAUCUUUGACUGACGUUGAACUUGACGUUGCCUUGAGUCAGGCUUACUAUGGUUCUUACAUGUCCUUUUCGAAUUAGUUUUCCAAGUCAAACAAUAUCAGUGGAGUUUAUGUCAACGUAGAGUUUCGACUAAGUUAUUAGAUUCAUCUCAUAGUCUUAUUAUUAGUUAUUUAUUAUUAUUUUAUAUAACUUGGGGAAUAGAGUAAAGUAAAAGUGAUGUAUUGUGUCUAUUGUUACAAAGACUUCGUUAUCUCAAUGGACAGUAAUGAAUUCGAAUUAGCUCCGAGCUGCCCUCCAUUUCGGAUGGUGAGACGAGUGAAGACUCUCAAGGAGAGGAUCAAACAUUUGGCGAAAGCUCUAAGGACUUGAACGUGUAAUCAGUGUGGUUUAGUUCCAAAAUCAUAUGCGUUGUAAUAGGCUCCGGAAAAUCUUAUGCAUAAGAUUUUGGAACUAAACCACACUGAUUACAC